UGGUGCUGCUUUGCAAAGAUUGUGUACUUACAAAUUUGUUGAUGGCUGUCUCGUCACCGAGCCGCUCCUUUGUAAUCGUUCAUCUCAUCUUUGGCCUUGUGUACGUAAAAUGACUCGCAGUCAUCUGAAAUCUGCAUCCACUGUGAAAAGACAAAAACACACGGUCAGAAACACACACAUUUCCAAACAUGCACAGGAAAAAAAAACUCAAUUAGUGUACGGCAUUUCCUCUAUGCUAACUCUAAGUGUACAUCUGUGUCUUUCAAUGCUUUAGAGAUCAAAUAUCUUUACAUGUUACCAUUAAUGAAAAGCAACAUUCACAGUUAAGGAAAAAAAGAAAAAAAUGGAAAUGUAUAAUAUACUACCACACUUACCCAAUAUCUAAGGCAGGCCUUUAUUUCUUCACUGCCUUUCUUUUCAAUUUCAUAUGGAACUCGGUUCCUAUUUAUCAUUGCAUUGACAGCAAAUGGACUUGGUGGCUUUCUCCUGUCUUCUUGCUCCAUGUCUGCAUAAGGGGUUGUGAAAAAGCCUGCUGACACAUUUGCCUUAACACGGCCAAGUUUCAGUUCAAGACAGUAAAUCAAUAUUCAAAUCUGAAAUCUCUUCAUUUACUUCAACCUCUUUAGAAAAAAGGUAUCUAAUAUUCAGUCAUCCAUACUAAAUAUUGAUACUAUUUGAUCUGGCUGCAUUAAUAGUUUCAGAUUGAUUAUGUUUUCAGGAUUGACUGCUUGUAUUCAGCCUGUAAAUAACAAAAGGGUCAGGUUAGGGGAGAGACACGGUCUCUAUAUCAAAGUGGCUGGGAAACUGCUCUACAGGAGGCUCAGAUCAGUGUCUUAGACUGCAGCUCUGAUGCUGAUGAUGAUAGUGGGGAUGAAGCCCAUCAAAAUUAUUCUCAUUAUGAAGAUAAUUUUACUGUUUAUUCUCUACACUUUGGUAUUUUUCUCUGCUUAGUAUUGAUUGAGGUUCUGUUUUCGCAGUACUCCAGUCCACCAACAGAUGGUAAUAUUCUGUAACUUAAAGGCUCAAUCUCAGUCUUGAUUCAUUUGCCAUAGCUUUCAAGAGUUCAAUAUCUGUAUUUCAAGUCUGAUUUUGAAUUGAUGAAGCUGUCAAACCUACUGCAUUUCCUUAAAACAGCUACUUUUCAAUAACUUUGAGUGUCCACUUGAAUUGUAUUUCCAUAUUUUCGAAAUGCAAUUAUUUUCAGAAAGCAAAGCAUCCAUCUGUCGAUAAAAUUUGUGUUGUUGUGCUGUCCUAAAUCAGUCCACAGCAAACAAACAGAUAAAAACAAACAAACACUGGUCUCUUAUCAGAAAGCUGUUUUCAAUUUUAAUUUCAGCCAAUUUAAGCUGCCUCAUAUUGGACAGCAGUUUUGGCAGCAUGCGGACAUCAGUGCCUCUGCUUUAUAAAACAUCCUUGAUGGGGUUGUCUGCAGGUCAGGCAUUCAUUGCUAUCACACAAACACACACGGAACCCAUUGACUUCUGUUCUCAAAGCCAAGUAACGCAUGUAACCUUGUGUUUUAUCACAGCAGCAGCCUAUUGAGGAAGAUAUAGUCGUGCAGCAAAAUUGCUGCUGUAAGUGAUGGGCUAUGCUCGUUUGAACUCUGAGAAACCUGAGAGCCUCACACGCUGUCUCUAAAGUGGGUGUUAAAGGCUGUAUCUCAGGCUAUUACUGGUAUUAGAGAUUGCUUGGAGAACCCCUGAGUGGGCCUACAGCCUGUCCAUGUGCUGUGUGUCUAUGAGCUCUAUUUUCUUUCUUUUUGCUGUGACACACAUGACGGCUUACUGCAUGCAUGUUUUUAAUGAUUUGGUCGGGUUGCCUUUAUACACUCCUCCUACACUCUGUACUGAGAAGGGGGUUCAAUUCAAGGAUAUCUCUGUUUCCAUGACAACAGGGAAGCCACACCCUGUUUCAUAUCCCCAACCCCCCAACAUGCUCUGAUCAGAGCGAAGCUGUGUAGAGAGAGGCUGUUAUUGGUACAUGUUUAACAUGAGCAUGAAAACUCAGGAAUGAGCAAAUCAUCCAUCUGGUGUUGAAUGACUUUGGCAGCUAACAACACAUGAGUUGUUAAAUUAAUUUAGAGCACAGUUAUUUGUGGUUAUCCUGGGAUUUUUCUUCCAUACUGAGUUGCAUACAUAUACAGCUUGUUUUCAGUCCCAUGGGUUAAAAUUUGAUCUCAGAAUGCGUCUCAUCCCAAUAUGAAAUGUGGCGCUGACUGUGGGAGAAUGAAAUGAAUCCACAACAUUGCUCUUUCUCAUGUUUAUGUCGCCCCUUAAUGCCUGACACCACAAAUUAUGGCCAGAAAAUUCAAUUUUUUUUUGGAGCUGAGAUGUUUAUUUCACUUACUACUGAAAAACAAAAAAAUCGAGAUGUCCUUUAAAUUUAACAAACAUAUUUAUUGAUCUCGUUUGAUACAUUAGAUGUUUUUGGAAACUGAUAAACUACAAGAGGACAUUUUUAUAAUUUAUCUGACUGUAUUCAGGUGGGUUUUUUUUAAGUAAUUUGUUGAUCAUAUUGAUUUGAUAGAAGUGUAUAAAAGUAUGUAUCAAAUAUGAUACAAAAGGCAUUAUAAGGUUAAGUUAAAUUCAAGCAGUGAGCAAAAUAUUCUAGAUUUAGUCCUAAUGAAAUUGUGUAAAUUGUUUUUCUUUGUUGUUUGAUAAUAUGAAGAUGUUUCACUGAAGUUAUUUUAUUGAUUAUCCUUUUUUUUCUAAACCAGGACCAACUACUGUCGCAAAAACUGUAAAAACCAAUUCCCUAAAGCCCCCUCAUUUGAUGCAUUUUCAACUCUAAUUUAUUUGUUCAUUUUGAAAACUGCAAAAUUGCAAAACAAAUGAUCUACAAACCCUAACCUUAACUACAAUGCAGCACUCACAAUUUUUCGGAUUGGAGUCACUGUUUUGUUAAGAGGCCAUACACAUUGCAUCGGUCUGGUGAAUGGUUGGGGUGAUGGUAAAUGGGCAAAAUCAUAUGAAUGGUAAUGUUUUUAAGAACAGUUAGUUUGGAUUUAAAUGCUGUUUUCUUUUGUCCAAAGCUUAGCAGUUCAGAUACUGGUAAAUUACUUAUUUAAAGUCCCACUCUGAUUGUUUUUUAUUUAUUUUUUUAAAGUGUUCUCAGCGGUCAUUAAAUCUGCCAUUUGGGUCUCCCAGAGGUUCACAGCAAUUUAAAUGCAGUAAUACUCAGAAAUGCAACUUUGCACUUAGUUUUCUCAUAAUGUGUCCACCAGCAUCAGAAAAAUGUCAUAUGAACAUGUGGAUAACAAAAAAAACAUGAUCUUUAUCAGAGUGGUACUUUUAAUCAAUACCACAUCCUAUGUUAGGUUCUGACACUAGGUCAACAGAAAAUGGCCUCUGAUCCUGGUCUUUAAAAUUUUAAGAAAAACGUCAUUUUGAAAAAACUUUUGGUUUUGAUUUUAGUUGUUAAAAAAAAACAGACUCAGAGUUGGACUUCAAUAAAGAAAAUGCUUGUGAGCACUUUAUUUUAUGUUUGUGUUGGAACUUUUUGUACAUCGUAUUACAUUUAUGCUCCAACUUUUACACUACACUUCUACAGUUCUUACAUACAUUUUUCUAUGUAUGUCCUUGGAUGUCAGGAAUGAGUCACAUAGUCUGAUUUAUGUAAAAAAUGACAGCAUCUUUCCUCCUCUUCCUCCUUUCUCUUUUCAUUGUGCUGAUUUUGUCCUCUCAGCUCUCUCCUGCUGGACACACUGAAUGGCCUGUGGAUGCCGAGUUGGCUGCCCCCGGCUCAUCCAUCUCCCAGAGGUCCUUUAUGGUUUUGCUCCAUUGUGUGGUAACCUAGUUUAUUGAAUCACCAUUGUUUUUGUAUUAUUGCUGUCUGUGAUAUGUUUUCAGAAUUACAGAAUGCAACUUGCAACUCGCUUUCAUUAUGGAUUUAUCUGAUCGUCGGUCUCUAGAUGAAUUAGUUGAUUUUUUAGUUUGUUAUGUGUCAAAAAAACAUUGAAAAGACAUUUAUUGGAGUGAAAAAUGGCUUCAUUUUGUUGGUGUCUCAUGAAAUUAGGAUACAUAGCUUGAACAUUUUCAAUUUAGUUUCAAAGGGGGUGUAAAAAACCAACAUAACAGAUCAAUGUAGAGGUUAAAAUCAACAUUUUCUAGACAUUUUUGCUUCAGAAUAUUACUAAAAUUGUUUUCUCAAUCAUAAAAUUUCCUCCUCAUAUAUUUGGUCUUCUUUAACUCAUUGUUUAAGCCACAUUCAAAUCAGCUUUUUCAUGCUGGUGCGAUAGAAAAAACUCUGACUUGACUUUCCUGGUACAGAGAUGUGGUUUGGUUCUUCCCCGAGGCUGUGUUUGGCCUGGUUUUGGUUUGUCUUGUUCUGUUUUGGUAUUUGCCACAGCAACACUGUGUUUCACAUGUAGUGACACAGUAAGAGGAAUUGUGCUGGCUAUGUUUGAAUCGGGGGAAGGAGGAAAAUGCUGGUUGGACAAAGACUUAGGGAAUUUAUCCAGCUACAAGGACCCAAUCUAAAUAGUCUUUGAUGAAACACAUUCACGAGAAAACAAAGAUAAUGAGCAACAUGAUUAAACAUUAAACAUCAUUACAGAGAAAGAGGAGUUCAACAGCAAGAAAAAAAUAUAUGUUAAUGAGUUUCCUGCAGCAUGAGCUCUUCUUGGUAUGUUAUGAAGAACUUAGAGCCACAAAAUAAUGUCUAGACCACUGGUAGCUUUAUGAAUUGCUGCUGACUUUGGACUCGAUGUAUUUACAGCUUCCAGACAUCACCAGAUGGCCGGUCAGCAUUUUCAUACAGUACUUUAUCAGUGAAAUGGAGCAGUAAACCUUACUGGAGUCCUAUCAUUGAAGAGUAAUAGAAGAGCUGAUUUGCCAAUUUGUCACUUUACCUCACAUUCACUUUAGAUCAGUGUUAAAUAAGCAGUCUGUUAUCUGCCCAUCUCUCUCUCGCUCGCUCUCUCUCUCUCUGCUUCUGCAUUAAGUCUCUCUCAAGCUCCACAAACAACAUCAAAGGAGUGUGCUUCAAAUCGCAGGUGUUGAAGGAUUAAGGCCACCGCAGGAUGGGGUUUUAUUCUCAGCCCUAUCUUUGAUCUGGUGUCUCUUUCACUCACUUGUGUCUGUAACCUGUAACACAGACUGAUAGCUCAGUGAUUUCCCUUAAACUGAAAAUGUGGGAGGUCUUCAUUCUCAUACAUUCAUGGCUAGCAGGUUUAAGUGCAAGGAAAACUCAAAAUUAUGCCUACGUCCUGAAAAGCUGGGGUUCAAAGUGGCAAAUAUAGCAAAAUCAUGUCGUAUUAAGGGUCUGGAAGGUUCGGUACAUCUAUUCAGUGACAGUCUCCAAACUUAAAUGCUCCAUUUUUCAGCCUGUAGUGAUUUAUUUCUCUGUUUAUGUGCAAGCUGAAAAAAUUGUGAUAAUCAAAUUAAUGCAGCGGUUGGCCUUUUCUGAUGUGUUUAUUCAGAUGUGGGAGAGCAGAAACUGCAUGUUAUUAACAACGCACGUGUUAAGCAUACGGAGGCAGUGCAAUACAAAUUUGAGCCAGGGCUCUUCAAAUAUAUAAAAGUCUCUCUUUAAGGCACAUGCAAAAUUAAAGAAUAAAAAGUCCUGCCACCACUCUGAUGAGGAAAUAUUUUUCCAUUUAAAUUCACAUUGGCUUCAACCAGCUUAUUCAAGUACUACUGUAAAUUAAGAGCAACUUUUAUCCCUGCAAAUGGAACAAACUGUGCAAACAUGGAAGCCUGAGUAGAGAUAUACCUAUCAAGUACUGAUACAUAAACAGUUGUGUGGUUGUAUUCAAUGUUUUCAACAUAACCAACAAAGAUAUCAGAACUCAAAAUGCACUGAUAUGUUUAAUUCAUCUUUCUGGAGGAAUUUCUUUGAAUAAAUGUAAAAAAAAUUUACAAACAUUUACUUCCAUUCAAUCCUAAAAUGUAUUUAUUUACCCCAUUGAGACUCAGAGUCUGAUUAUAUAAGGAAGUUUGUCCAUUUGUGUAACAUGAUCAUAGUUUUAAGAUAAGAUAUUCCUUUAUUCAUCCCACAAGAGGAAAUUCAAAUUUUACAUCAGCGAUAAAUACAAAAGAGAAAUUGAGAAUGAAGAAACUUAGGAGUUUAAAGAUACAUAAAAAGAUAUACAUGAGUGUUAUUUACAGCUGUUAUGAUAUAUUACAGUUGAAAAAUAGAGAUAUUUAUAUGUAUGACUAUAUGCACAGAAUAAGCAUACGUGUGUUUUCAUACCUGUAAAAACUCAAUUUAUAACCUCUCUGACACCAAGCAAAGAAACUCUCCUGAGUGAGCAUUUUGGUCCUAGCUGAAGGCUCUGCGCUGAUCUUUGACCCCAUUAGGUCACAGAGGUGUGUUGGUAGAGGAGGAAAAAGGACGGCACAUUGCUC